AAAAUUCUUGGUGAUAUCAAUCGUAUUAAUAAGUAUGGGAACCAAUCAGCUUGUCUUAGAAUAGGCCAAAUGCGCGAUAGAGUUCGAGAACUUUAUUGUUAUUGCAUAUAAUGUAUAAUUGUGCAAAGUAUUACUCGUGAUGGAUUGCCUAAUAGAAAAGUGUUUAUUAGAAAAACUAUCCUGGAUGCGGCAUCUGGAAAGAUUUUCAAUGGAGGCUCAUAUGGUUAAACUUUUAAAAGAAAACGAUUAUUAAGAAUGUCGUUAUAAAAGACCUGUAGUGAUAUUCGCGUCUCAUACUCAAACUAAAAACUGGUACCUGAAGUUUAAUCAUUUUAACGAAAACUGAACAAAAUAUCCACAUCAUAUAAAAUGACUAUGUAUGU
rnacentral:lncRNA from 1 species